rnacentral:rRNA from 1 species
GACGAACGCUGGCGGCGUGCUUAACACAUGCAAGUCGAACGGAAAGGCCCCUUUGGGGGUACUCGAGUGGCGAACGGGUGAGUAACACGUGAGUAACCUGCCCUUGACUUCGGGAUAACUUCAGGAAACUGGGGCUAAUACCGGAUAGGAAUCCUUGCUGCAUGGUGGGGGUUGGAAAGCUUCGGCGGUUUUGGAUGGACUCGCGGCUUAUCAGCUUGUUGGUGGGGUAGUGGCUUACCAAGGCUUUGACGGGUAGCCGGCCUGAGAGGGCGACCGGCCACAUUGGGACUGAGAUACGGCCCAGACUCCUACGGGAGGCAGCAGUGGGGAAUAUUGCACAAUGGGCGGAAGCCUGAUGCAGCAACGCCGCGUGCGGGAUGACGGCCUUCCGGUUGUAAACCGCUUUCAGCAGGGGCGAAGCUUGUGGUGACGGUACCUGCAGAAGAAGCACCGGCUAACUACGUG